rnacentral:rRNA from 1 species
AGUGGGGAAUAUUGGACAUGGGCGCAAGCCUGAUCCAGCAAUACCGCGUGUGUGAAGAAGGCCCGAGGGUUGUAAAGCACUUUCAAUAGAGACGAAAAGCCUAGACUUAAUACGUCUGGGUCUUGACUUAACCUAUAGAAGAAGCACCGGCUAACUCCGUGCCAGCAGCCGCGGUAAUACGGAGGGUGCAAGCGUUAAUCGGAAUUACUGGGCGUAAAGCGCACGUAGGCGGCUUGUUAAGUCGGAUGUGAAAGCCCCGGGCUCAACCUGGGAACUGCAUUCGAUACUGGCAGGCUAGAGUAUAGAAGAGGCAAGUGGAAUUCCGGGUGUAGCGGUGAAAUGCGUAGAUAUCCGGAGGAACAUCAGUGGCGAAGGCGACUUGCUGGUCUAAUACUGACGCUGAGGUGCGAAAGCGUGGGGAGCAAACGGGAUUAGAUACCCCGGUAGUCCACGCCGUAAACGAUGUCAACUAGCCGUUGGGGGUCUUAGUACCUUUAGUGGCGCAGCUAACGCAUUAAGUUGACCGCCUGGGGAGUACGGUCGCAAGACUAAAACUCAAAGGAAUUGACGG